rnacentral:lncRNA from 1 species
UAUGGAAGGUAGAAAUUCAUAGCUUUUUCGCUGGUUGGCGCUGACCUCUUUUGUGGCCUUAGGAAUGGCACUUAUGUAUGUAUGCAAAACAUGGCAGAAAUAUUAACACCUACAAGUCGUUAAGCUUUAUGGCCAUUGAUUAAGAAAGCCUUUGAAGAGGUAUUGUGAUCCUUUGUAUUAAAAAAUGUGAUGGUAAAGUUUAAAGACUUUUAUUGUUGUUUACAUGUUGACAUUAAAAUAAUGAUUUCAUUUUCUGACCCAAAGAAAAACUGUUGAAAAAAAAUCCAAAUGUUUGUCAAAAAGUAAUGUCUGUGUUUAUGAUGGAUCUUUUCUGUAAAGAUUAACCAGGUAGGAGAUGUAGACUGUUUGAAAAACUCUUUGCGAUAGAAAAUAUGACUGUAAAUGUAACAUUUUAAUUUUAAAGCAUGUAAGGAAAGAACAGCGGGUUCUGAAAAUGGGUACUCAGGAAUGGCCUUUACCUCUGCAGUCUUCUUGCUAUGGAUGGGACUGUUCACAUGAAUGGAGGCAGUGAGACUGGAUCCACGGUUCUGAAACAGGUGUGUGGUGCCUGGUCACCCCAUGGAGCUCUCGCCUCCUUCUGGGCUAUCACUGCACCUGCUCUACUCUAGACAACUUCAUUCAGAAUCUGCUGUUGCCUUUUCCAUGACGGACUCAUGGCUACUGCAUCAGCACAGAGUCCAACUCCCCUGCAAUGAACAGAGACAAGCACAGCUAGAUCAGGUUACCCAGGACCUGAUCCAGCCUCACUAUGGAAGUCUCCAGGGACAGGGCAUCAACCACAUCUCUGGGCGACCUGUUCCAGUGCCUCACCACCCUCACUGUAAAGGAAGUUACAAGAAGCUACUGCACUAAUAGAAAACUCACAGCAACUCUUUUGGGCUGACAGUCUUGGCUAUGGAGCACCACUUGGCUCUACUCAAGGAGGGCCAUCACCAAAUUCAGUCUUUGGCUGUAGGCGGGGACAGUGGCAGCCAAGUUCAUUCAGCUUCUGUUAUCACCUUUGAACACAUCCAGUCUGAUGAAAUGGACGUACUUUCUACUGUCUCUUCUGUCCAGACUCUGCCAAAGAGGAAUAAAUAAUAUCAAUUCUGCCUGCCUUAUGCAUAUAUCUAUCUGCUCCAUCCUUUCUCUGAGGAUUUAACAAACUCAGGCCUACACUUCUCUGCAGGCAGUCCCCCCUUCAUUUGUUGAUACUCUGAGCACUGUGUGAACCUGCUCCUUCCAGGCUCAAGGCUGAAGAAAGGCCAGAUGAAAACAGGUGAAAUAGACCAGAGGAGCCAUUCAGUCACCUACGCAGCAUC